rnacentral:rRNA from 1 species
AAAACAUGUCUACUUGGAGUUAUAAAUAGUCAGACCUGCUCACUGAAUGAAUUUUUAAAGAGCCGCGGUAUAUUGACCGUGCUAAGGUAGCAUAAUAAUUAGCUUUUUAAUUGAGAGCUGGAAUGAAAGGUCAGACAAAAAGAAAUCUGUCUUAAGUUCAAUAUUAAAACUUAAUCUUUAAGUGAAAAAGCUUAAAUAAUUUAGGAAGACGAUAAGACCCUAUAAAGCUUUAUGUAAUAAAAAUAUUAACUGAAUUUAAUUAAUAAAAGUUUUAAUUGACCUUUACAUUAUAUUGGGGCGAUAAAAGUAUAAUUAAUUUAACUGCUUAUAUUUAUCACACAAAUAAGUGAGUUGUUGCAAAUGGAUCCUUAGUAGAGAUUUUAAGAGCAAGUUACUUUAGGGAUAACAGCGUUAUUUUUUUUGAGAGCCCAUAUCGAAAAAAAAGUUUGCGACCUCGAUGUUGAAUUAAAAUAUCUAUACAAUGCAGAAGUUGUAUAAGAGGGUCUGUUCGACCUUUAAAUUUUUACGUGA